UACGGAGGGAGCUAGCGUUGUUCGGAAUUACUGGACGUAAAGCGCACGUAGGCGGCUUUGUAAGUUAGAGGUGAAAGCCCGGGGCUCAACCCCGGAAUUGCCUUUAAGACUGCAUCGCUUGAAUCCGGGAGAGGUGAGUGGAAUUCCGAGUGUAGAGGUGAAAUUCGUAGAUAUCAGGAGGAACACCAAUGGCGAAGGCAGCUCGCUGGGACGGUACUGACGCUGAGACGCGAAAGCGUGGGGAGCAAACAGG
rnacentral:rRNA from 1 species